rnacentral:rRNA from 1 species
UACAGAGGUCUCAAGCGUUGUUCGGAUUCAUUGGGCGUAAAGGGUGUGUAGGUGGCGCGCUAAGUCGGGUGUGAAAUUUCGGAGCUUAACUCCGAAACUGCAUUCGAUACUGGCGUGCUUGAGGACUGGAGAGGAGACUGGAAUUCAUGGUGUAGCAGUGAAAUGCGUAGAUAUCGUGAGGAAGACCAGUUGCGAAGGCGGAUCUCUGGGCAGUUCCUGACACUGAGGCACGAAGGCCAGGGGAGCAAACGGG